rnacentral:rRNA from 1 species
UACGUAGGGUGCGAGCGUUGUCCGGAAUUAUUGGGCGUAAAGGGCUCGUAGGCGGUUUGUCGCGUCGGGAGUGAAAACCUUGGGCUUAACUCAGGGCUUGCUUUCGAUACGGGCAGACUAGAGGUAUGUAGGGGAGAACGGAAUUCCUGGUGUAGCGGUGAAAUGCGCAGAUAUCAGGAGGAACACCGGUGGCGAAGGCGGUUCUCUGGGCAUGAUCUGACGCUGAGGAGCGAAAGUGUGGGGAGCGAACAGG